CCGGGCAGCGCCGGCCCCGCCCGGCCCCGCACCUGCCCCCGGGGCCGCCCCGCCGGAGUCGGGCCGAGCCGCCGCGGGAGCUGCUGCCGGAGCGCCCGCCAUGGGCGUGGGCUAUGGGGGGAUGCGCUGCGUCAAGAUCCUGCUCUUCAUCUUCAACCUGACCUUCUGGCUGGCAGGACUGGCUGUCAUUGCCUUCGGGCUGUGGCUGCGCUUUGGUGGGCCCAUGGCAGAGUUUGCUACAGACAAAAAGUCCCCGGAACUUUUCUUCAUGGGACUCUAUGUACUGGUGGGAGCAGGGGCCAUCAUGUCAGCAGUUGGAUUUUUCGGGUGCUGUGGAGCAGCACGGGAGUCCCAGUGCUUAAUUGGAACAUUCUUUGCUUGCCUGUUGGUGAUAUUUGCAGGUGAGGUCACUGCUGGAGUAUUUGCCUUCAUAGGCAAGAAAGUGGCAAUACAGGAAGCCCAGAAAAUCUACGAAGAUGCUUAUGAGGACUACAUGAAAAACCCAGUGGGGAAGAUGAACAGUACCAUCUAUCGCUACCACGUGGCUCUCCAGUGCUGUGGUAAAGGUAAUGUGGAGCAACAAACAGGAUUACCCUGUCCAGAGAACAUCCAGCUGCCAAAGAACUGCCUGGCUGAAAUUCAGAAUGUAAUUGAUACUCAGCUGCGCUUAGUUGGAAUUGUGGGAAUUGCAAUUGCUAGCAUCACAUGUGUCUUCUCCCUGGGAAUUGCCCCCAUCAGUGCAAGCAGAGCUGUGUGACUGUGCUUUUCAAGUUCAUUUUGUGUCCUUAUACAGGAUCCAAAAUAAUGAUCUUUGGCAUGAUAUUCAGCAUGGUUCUGUGCUGUACGAUCCGUAACAUGAGAGAAAUGAUCUAAAACUGUCACUGCACAACUAUGCCCCAGGAGUUCCAGACUAAGCUUACAAGAAGUGCUCUUCUACCCAAUUUAAUAACUGUAAUGCAUUUUAAUCAGUGUUUUAACAUACUGAGAGGAAAAUAUCCUGUUAGGUGAUGAGGUAAAUUGUAUUAGUUACAGUAAAACUGAAGUGGACAAAAAAAGGAGUUUAAAAUGUCCUUUUUAAUGAAAAAAGAGCAAAGGUGCAUCUAAGACUAAUUUGAUUUUUAAUGUUUAUAUAUGUGCAAUUAAGAGUUUACACAUGUAUAGACUUUGUGAAAGCAUAUGCUUGUGUCUCCUUACAAACACCUCUGGAUGUGAGCAGGUCCCUGGAGGUGCAGUACCUGUCCAGGUAAAUGUCUGCAGAUGGAACACGUUGUGUCUGCACAUCCCCCAGGGACACAGUGCUCAGAACCCUCUCACACCGAGCCCCUGUUUCCCAAGAAUUAGCAGAGGGACAAAUGCCAAAAGUAAGACCUGUGAUCCAUUUUGUGACUUUAUUUUCCAAAGCCCAAACAGAGCAGAACUAAUAAAAUUGUACUUUAUUUAAAAAAACAAUUAAUGCCUUAGGGCCUGCUCCAGCAAACUUGAAGAGUAGACCCACUGACUUCACUGUCAUGCAGAGACUGGGUAUUUGUUUUUUGUAAGACUGGACCCUUCAUGCAAAUGCAGAAAGCUCUGGGGGAGAAAACACGUCCAAGGAGAUCCAGGUUAAAGGAAGAGGGGGAAAGAGGUGGGAAGCUGGCAAGACCAGGCAGUCAUUUGGGACCAACUGCAGUGCAAAGUGUGCUUAAGCUUCCCAAGCUAGGCUGAGAUACACCUAAAAACCCAGCUGUGAGUUCAAGGGGCCACUAGAAUCCACGUUCAGCAGCCUCUUUAUCCCAAAAGCCUCACUGUGGCUACAAACUGGUGCAGGAGUGGAGCUAGGUCCAGAAAAGCAGCCCCUUUGUCAGAUCUGUAGAGAAUCUAACUGGCCUGUGGAAGCCAAACAAAGAGCAAAAGCGGUCAGAAAAAGACACACAGCACUUUAAUAUCCUCAGUUUCUGCUUCUGUGACUAUCACAGCUUCCACGGGGCUCUUACCUCAACCUCUCGCCCCUUCCUGGGGCCAGAAGGCAGGAAAGAAAGAUGGGACAUUUUUACAGAGCCAUGAAGUAAGUUUUCUUACUGGCACCUUUAGAUUGCUUGUCAGGUAUAAAAAUUACACUGUGUGCUUGAAAUACCUCAGGGUUUGCGUUUACAUAAUUUUUUUCUAUAUUUUAAUUUUUCUAUUUGUCAUAUUUAUUCAUAAGAGAAUGUUCCUUUUGAACCAGCCUAGAAGGGAGAAAGUUGUCCCCAGAAAAAUGUUACAUCAAAGGCUCAGGAUCUCUUAAUAUUUGGCUUACUCAAGAUAAUUCACCAUUUCAGAGAACAACUUUUUGCUAACUAUACCCCCAUAGCAGCAGACCUGGUGAUCACCAGUUCAGAUUCCUGAUGCAGUUGUUCCAGACAUGCUGGGGAGAAGUUCAGUUAAACUACACAUUCCAAUAGACCAUUGUCUAAGAGGCCUUGGAAUUUACAAGUCAUGGGCUCCUUGUUCCACUGAAACACAGGGGAUCAACAUGGGAUCUCAGGAAAUAUGUUAUGUGUGGGAUACACCACCCUCUAGCUAUUAUUUAUUUUUUAUCUCGUAUUCCACAAAGAAACUCAAACUCCCAUCAGUUUUCUGUCACUUCAGGACUUGGGGUAGUGCUGCUGCUCCAAGUCUCUGGUUUAGUUGACACAUCUUGCUGUCUCUUCCAUGGAUUUCUCUUUUCCAGUCAUCCAACCACGAGCUGUGGCACUGCACUAAGAGCUGGGCACGGCUGGCACUGACUGAGCCAUGUCUAGGCUGAGCUUUAGGCUGGCAGGGACACGUGAAAUCACACACCAGAAAAGAGUGAGGCUUGUGUCACUCUGUCACAGCAUCCAUUAGCAAUGGAUGUUAAUUAAAAACAGGGCCUGGGACCUCAUUCUGCAAGAACCAGCACAGGAAACAGGGCCCUGAUCUGCUGCUUGCUCCUAACACAGGCUCAGCUGGGAGAACAGCAGGGGCAGCAAAUCCAUGAGGGUCUCAAGCUGAACCUUAGAAAUCAGUUUAACACAGCAGCCAGCAAAGCAAUUUCCUGGCUCCCAGGUGUACCUGAGACUGUCCCUACAAUGCUUGUGUCUGGAGAGAUGGUGGGGUAGUGCCCAGCUGGGGUGUGCUGUCCCAAGGUAGUACUGGCAGAAAGAAGAAACUCUUGUAGAGUGUCAUUUUUGCCACUCAGGACAAGCCAGCUUCCAGGAAAAUCAGUAAAAAUAGCACCAGAGCCAGUGGUUCAGGUUCCAAGACUCUUGUCCUACAGGGAUAGAAACUGCCUGCAAAUAAAGCAAUUUCCUUGUGUUACAUUCCCCCUCAUAAUGACAGUGUUCUGUUCAUUUUAAACACAUCUACACAUUCCUCACAUUCAUAGCACCAGAAUGUAAUGACAGGACCAGAGUUUAUCUUUUUAUUUAUUAUUUCUUGAGUAAGUUGGAAGAUGCCCACUCCUGCUUGGAGAUGCACUGAAUGCCAAGGCAGCUUGCAGAACCUGCUGUUGCUUCCCCAGCCCUCCACUCCCCCAGAAGUACAAAACCACCCCAGUGCCUCAGGAAAACGGGGAAAAGUGGUAGGAAAAAACCUUCUAUAAAUUCAGACUUGAGCCACCAAACUUUCUGCUGAAAGUUUUGGGUUUUGGAUUUGUGAUUUGUUUUUUUCUUCCUCUAAAGACAGCAUUACUUUUCUGAGCAUUCCUGCAUAAGCUUUAGGGUUGCAGUUACUUAGGUCUAGGGGAUACUUGCACUGCAUACCAGAAACAGGACAGUACCUGUUACUGCUUUAGUUCUCUAAGUUAUUGCUAUAAAUUAAGCUGGAAAUCAACAUGUUAUUCAUAUACUAGUGCCUUUAACAGAAUCCAGGGAUAAAGGUCUUUUGUAGUUUCCUGCUGUUGUGAGGUGCUUGAUAUAAUUGCAGUUUUCUCUGCAUCUUAGUAACUGAAGGUAUUUUUUCAGAGUUACUGCCACAUAAGACAGCAAAAAUACCCAUUUAUCCUGUCCCUUGCACCUGUGUCAGAGGAAAGUGACAAAAGAUCAGAUCCCUCCAGGUGGUAUAAUUUUCAAAGCACAUCACACACGUUUUCUUGUUCUCCUGUCAGUUUGUUCUAAAGCAUAAAGAUGUAAGUUGUUGAUGCCCUUACUGUGUCUCUAAACACCCUUAUUCACAUUUCCCUUGUCUAAUUUUUCUAAGUUACUGAUCUCAGUGGGAGCUUCCUUUGUCACAGGGAAACCUCAGCCAGUUUUGGUACCUCUCAGAAAUCACACAGCAGCUGAUGAAGCUCAGCCCUGUGACAUCCCUACAACGAAGAGUAGUAUUUCACUUGUCUUGAUACUGAUAGUUUUAUAACAAAACACCGUUUCAUGUGUCUUGAAACAGAAAUUGAGUUGUCUUAAGCCCUCAAAUGCUGUAUUGCACAGCCUUUGCAGGCUAUGGAUUAACAGCAUUGGAUGCUGUCCAUAGAAAAUGUACAUAAAUAAAGCUUUUCAAUCUUUUUCCUCUCUAUUGGUGCUCCAGCCACAAGGUUCUCCAAAACACUAACCACUUCCUGGAUAAUGUGUAUGGCACAGCAUAAAUUUUGAUUUUGGACAGAACUGGCAUUUCAGUUCAUGCUGCCAAGUCUGUGGCAGAAUUACCUCUUGCUUUGAAAGAAAACAAACUUAACUCUGUGGCUGAAAUUAGCUUUCACUUCCCUAUGAUGUGUUCCGAAGUGGCGUUUUAUCAGCUUUGUGUCUUGAAUUUGAAACAACUUCCUAAUAAAAAUAACCUGGAA